UACGUAGGGCGCGAGCGUUGUCCGGAAUUAUUGGGCGUAAAGAGCUCGUAGGCGGCCUGUUGCGUCUGCUGUGAAAUCCCGGGGCUUAACCCCGGGCGUGCAGUGGAUACGGGCAGGCUGGAGGCAGGCAGGGGAGAAUGGAAUUCCCGGUGUAGCGGUGAAAUGCGCAGAUAUCGGGAGGAACACCGGUGGCGAAGGCGGUUCUCUGGGCCGUUACUGACGCUGAGGAGCGAAAGCGUGGGGAGCGAACAGG
rnacentral:rRNA from 1 species